CACACCAUCCCCACUUAAACAAUGUUGGUCCUGUACUGCUUCCCCCUUCUGAGACGCCGGAUGGUGGACCAGAAUCGCCUCGAAGCCGUACGGAAGUCUUUCUCCAUGGCCUCUCUAAACUCCUCCCACGCCCCAAUUUUUGC